rnacentral:siRNA from 1 species
GAAAGCAUCAAUACAGUGUCUAUG